AAAGUAAAAGUAGAAUUUAAGCUUUGAUAUGAACAGUUUACAAAGAAAGACAUUUUCUGAAAACAUUCGAGAGUUUGUUGAGAAGGCAAGCAUGAAAUGGAAACCAAACCAAUAAGUGUCAGGUGGUGAUUAACAUGUUUGAGAAUGCCCACAAAGUGAGUGUUUCUGAGGAGGUGUGUGAUGACUGCGGGGCUCACAUUGUAGACGUGGAUUUCAAUAAGG